rnacentral:tRNA from 1 species
GCAUUAGUAGCUCAGACGUAGAGCACCGGUCUUGUAAACCGGAGGCCGGGGGCUAAAUUCCCCCCUACUGCU